GCUUCUUCUCGCGAGCCUUGCCACCAUCACUUUUCAGCCGCCCACGACCAGGAGCUAAGGUCUCGCGAGGCUUGGGUGUUGCGGCGGUAGGAGGAGGACGGAGAAGGACGGCGCUAAGCCACCGCUGCCUCCCUCGCUCACUCCCUCGCGCGCUCGCCCGCCCCCUCCCUCCCUCCCCUCCCUUCCCCGGCCCCGGCUCCGGCCCUGGCCCAUUUGCUGUUCAUUCUUCUACUGGGAGGAUGUCGGGCUCGUCUCUCCCCAGCGCCCUGGCCCUCUCGCUGUUGCUGGUCUCUGGCUCCCUUCUCCCAGGGCCAGGCGCGGCUCAGAACGAGGACACGUUGUGGGUAAAGGAGUCCUGGAGAAAACUGAGCAAGAGCAAGAGUACUGGAGCCCUAAGAAGGGGGUGAAGAAUCAGAGAACCUUGGAUAUAGAGGUAGACGGAAGGUGCUGUUUGCUUCAGUGGUUUGGCAGUUUUCUCUCCUUGAGUACAUUUUUAGAUGUGUAUUUGCUAUUGUGCAUUUCCUCUUUGGGUGAAGUGAAAUGAGUAACAGAAGACAUGUUAUCUAUGGCAGCUGUGCACAAAUGACAUGCCAAAUGUCAUGCAAGAGAUCUUAACAUAAUUAACCCAAAUAAAAAUUUAAAUGAAGAAAUAGUUUGCCUUGGAAUAAAGCAUUUUCUAAGAAGAUCAUAAGCCUCCAGUCUCUCAGGCAACUGACCAGAGUAUCACUACUGACAUAAUGGAGCACCCAGGCAUGAGAAACUUUUCAGGGAUCUGGAGUAGAAAGGCCGUGUUACUACAUCAGGACCUGUUGCUGGGCUCUUAGUCUUUGUUUUUCAAGGUUACUGGAUCCAAAUUAGAAAGAGAUGCAGAUGGGAUUUUAUGUUGCCAGACAUAAUAUAGCUUAACCUGUUAAUGUACCAAGGUUUAAAACAACAAAAGGAAAUAAAAGCCCUUAAAUAUAAAUGUACUCCACAGUCCAAACAUUUGCCAUAAAUUAGGAUUGAGGUUCAUUACAGGCCUUACUUUGUCUGAGUUAUACAAAUCUCCAUGAGAAAUUGGACUAUUUGGUCUUGAAAGAAUUCCUUUAUUUUUCUCAUUAAUUCAGUUUUUAUGUGAAAUAUUUUCUCUUGUGGAGUAUACCUUUAUAUAUUAAUAAAAAGCAAAAUGUUAUCCUAUUGUCUUUAUUUUUUACUAAAUAUAAAUUUAUUUAGUUUGAGGUACUUUUUCAAAAUAAGAUGUUUCAUAUGUAAAAUCUGAAACUUUGCCAGAUGUAUGUAAAAGUUUUUUUAACAAGAAUUUGGAAAGGAGAUAAGAUGCUAAUAUCUAUACAAAUGAAAUGUGUAGAAAAACAAUGAAUGACUAUAUUAAAUAUCACACAGAUGUUCAAUAAAAAUUUGAAUAAAGUUAUGCAAAGACAUUUUAGCAGAAGUAAAUUCUGUGAAAAAUUUUCUGAUGCAUUCUAUUUACAGUGAGAACACAAUCUGGACAGCAUCAGAAAUAGAGAAUGAAGUUGUAAGAGAAAAGGAAAAAGAAGAAAGUCUACAGUAGUACAAAGAGAAAAGCAGGAAGCAAAAAUGAGGAGCAUCUGGAAAAAUAGAAUCUAUCAGAAAGAGUAAAUAGAGAUCUUUCAAGUACAUUCACAUAUCAAAAUUAAAAUAAUAGUGCAAAAUCACCAUUGUGUGAACAAUUG